rnacentral:lncRNA from 1 species
GUGCAGAACAUCAAACUAAAACAGGCAGGUCUAAGAGCAGAAAGAUUUUCAGAGAUUUACAGACAGAAUUUUUAAUUCUAAAGGACCUUUGAAUAGUUCAUGUAUUAAUUGUUUUCUGGAAGUCUGGAAUAUACAAAAUAGUUCUGCAAAAAGUAUAGGGUAGUGGGAAUAUCUAUCAAAGAGAAAAGUAUAUGGGUAGUGGGAAUAUCUAUCAAAGAGAAAAAGUGAAUAUUGAAGGUUUCCGUUAUUCCAUUGAAGUCACAGUUCCUCAAUUAUGGACAAAUCAAUAUCUUUCCUUCGAAAAAUUUUUCGAAAAAGCACAGCGGAUGAACAGAACCAGGACAGCUCUGGAGGACAAAGCUCAGAGAAGCUUCUUGAGCUGACAGAUGCUAGUAAUUACACAUUUGACAAGAUACCAGUGGUGCCCCAGCCCAGCGAUGGCACUGUGACCCUACCUCCUUCCUGCUUGCUAAAAGAUAUGGUGUCGCUUCAAGAUCUAAACAAUGAGUAAGUUCAUGUGCCAUUUUGGUG